CCUACGGGUGGCAGCAGUGGGGAAUAUUGGGCAAUGGGCGCAAGCCUGACCCAGCAACGCCGCGUGAAGGAAGAAGGCCUUCGGGUUGUUAACUUCUUUUGUUAGGGAAGAGUAGAAGACGGUACCUGACGAAUAAGCCACGGCCAACUACGUGCCAGCAGCCGCGGUAAUACGUAGGUGGCAAGCGUUGUCCGGUUUUACUGGGUGUAAAGGGCGUGUAGGUGGGUUGACAAGUCAGAUGUGAAAUCCUGCGGCUUAACCGCAGCACUGCAUUUGAAACUGUUGAUCUUGAGUACUGGAGAGGCAGACGGAAUUCCUGGUGUAGCGGUGAAAUGCGUAGAUAUUAGGAGGAACACCAGUGGCGAAGGCGGUCUGCUGGACAGCAACUGACGGUGAGGCGCGAAAGCGUGGGGAGCAAACAGGAUUAGAUACCCCUGUAGUC
rnacentral:rRNA from 1 species